UACGAAGGGGGCUAGCGUUGCUCGGAAUCACUGGGCGUAAAGGGCGCGUAGGCGGGUUCCCAAGUCGGGGGUGAAAUCCCACGGCCCAACCGUGGAAGAGCUUCCGAUACUGGGAGUCUGGAGGGAGGUAGGGGCGUGUGGAACUUCCGGGUGGAGCGGUGAAAUGCGUAGAUAUCGGAAGGAACGCCGGUGGCGAAAGCGACGCGCUGGACCUCUCUGGCGCUGAGGCGCGAAAGCCAGGGGAGCAAACGGG
rnacentral:rRNA from 1 species